rnacentral:rRNA from 2 species
GUAACUGAUCAGGUAGUGACGGUAUCCAACCCGAAGAAGGCCACGCUAACUACGUGCCAGCAGCGCGUAAUACGUAGGUGGCAGCGUGUCCGAUUUAUUGGGCGUAAAGCGAGCGCAGCGUUCUAAGUCUGAUGUGAAAGCUUCGGCUCAACCGAAGAAGUGCAUCGGAAACUGGGAAACUUGAGUGCAGAAGAGGACAGUGGAACUCCAUGUGUAGCGGUGAAAUGCGUAGAUAUAUGGAAGAACACCAGUGGCGAAGGCGGCUGUCUGGUCUGUAACUGACGCUGAGGCUCGAAAGCAUGGGUAGCAAACAGGAUUAGAUACCCUGGUAGUCCAUGCCGUAAACGAUGAGUGCUAGGUGUUGGAGGGUUUCCGCCCUUCAGUGCCGCAGCUAACGCAUUAAGCACUCCGCCUGGGGAGUACGACCGCAAGGUUGAAACUCAAAGGAAUUGACGGGGGCCCGCACAAGCGGUGGAGCAUGUGGUUUAAUUCGAAGCAACGCGAAGAACCUUACCAGGUCUUGACAUCCUUUGACCACUCUAGAGAUAGAGCUUUCCCUUCGGGGACAAAGUGACAGGUGGUGCAUGGUUGUCGUCAGCUCGUGUCGUGAGAUGUUGGGUUAAGUCCCGCAACGAGCGCAACCCUUAUUACUAGUUGCCAGCAUUUAGUUGGGCACUCUAGUGAGACUGCCGGUGACAAACCGGAGGAAGGUGGGGACGACGUCAAAUCAUCAUGCCCCUUAUGACCUGGGCUACACACGUGCUACAAUGGAUGGUACAACGAGUUGCGAGACCGCGAGGUUUAGCUAAUCUCUUAAAACCAUUCUCAGUUCGGAUUGUAGGCUGCAACUCGCCUACAUGAAGCCGGAAUCGCUAGUAAUCGCGGAUCAGCAUGCCGCGGUGAAUACGUUCCCGGGCCUUGUACACACCGCCCGUCACACCAUGAGAGUUUGUAACACCCAAAGCCGGUGAGGUAACCCUUCGGGGAGCCAGCCGUCUAAGGUGGGACAGAUGAUUAGGGUAAGUCGUAAUUCAU